UCUAUGAGUAAAAUUUACACAAUAAAUGCCUUGAAUAUUCUACAUCUACAUAUACAUGUAGUUGCAAAAAUAGUGCAUUAUGCACUAGAUGAAUAAGUCAGGCAAAUACAGAAGCAACAAGUAAUGGGAAGCAUGUAACAACUGGAGAAAUUGUAUUAAAACCCGAUAUAUAUACUCGCUGUUUAAUUUGGUUUCUAUAUUUCGAUGAAAAAUACGCAUGGUUGAUCAAAACGGAAAAUAUUUUACUUCCAAAAUUUACGUCUUUGUUUGUCGUAUGUUCACAUAUAAAUAAAAAAACUGAACGGUUGCUACACAUUCGAUUCUGAUAUAAACUGGUUUUAAGUAUAAGGUUAUACCAUGUUGAAAAAAUUACGUUUUUUUCAGAAAUGAAAGAUUUACAGUCUUGUUGCCUGAUUUGAUAUAAUGGACAGUAUGUUGAACCGGCGAUUAAAAAGAAUGCACUUUUUGAUGGUGUAUGCGUUCAUAACAAUAUGUACGACGAUAUCUUUUGUCGAGAUAGUUUGUUGUAGAAAAUUCUCAAUUCCUAAAACCGAUGUCAGUGAAAAAUCCGAUAUCCGAAACGACUGGUCUGAACAAAUUGACAAUAUUCAAAAGGAAGUGUAUGAAGAAUUUAAUGUGCAGUGUCUGCUCCAAACUGAAUGUCGAGACCCUUUCCUAGCAGCGGAUCCACUAAAAUCAAAAAUUGAGAUGAAAGGCAUGUGUUAUUAAUGCAUUAUUUUCCUUGUUAUUUCAAUUUACUACAUUGAAUUACGCAUGUUUUAAAAAACAUCAUAUAUAUAGAAAAAUGUUAAGUCACAAAAAAAAAUGUUUAAUAGGUAGGAAAACUGCACUUGCAGAUAAUCUAAAAGUCGUUUUAUAUAUUGAUAAUUCAACAGAGGCAACAAAUUAUUUUUAAACUGAAUCAUCUAUUCAUAUACAGGAUUUAAAUGUACAUUGUUUUAACUGGCUUUUUUAGCUUAGUAUUUAUAAUUAAAAAGAAAAAUAAUCCAAGUUAUUUUUGUAGCCAUAUAGUAGAAAUAAUUCAACUUUUCAACGAACAAUAAGAUUCACCCAAUCAAACAUUGCCUGCUUCAAUUUUGCCGUUUUCUGCUCUCUUCAUGGAUUCUUUUGCCUCUCUUUUACGUAAUCAUGAUCUAGGUAUGAAAACAAACAUUGAAAAUAGUAACAUAAAAAGAAAAUGAUUGACUGUGCGUAAUAUGUUGGUACAAAGGUAUUCAUAAUAAUCGUACUAUUUACACUGUGUAUAAUCAGUAACGUAGGAAUGUGAAAAUAACACAUGAAUUGUGCAAUAUUAACGCGGUUAUGUGUAUUUCCAUAUCAAACUGAAAGAAAUGAAUAAGCAUGUGCGAUUGGUGAGAUAUUUCUAUUUUAAACCUUAUUAAAAUAUUUAUAGGAAAGUGUUUUGUUUAGUAAGAGUAACGACUCGCUUGCAUUUUGUGUUUCGUCGAUAUAUAUUUUGUUUAAAUAACGUAUACACUGCAUUAUAUUUUUUGAUAUUCGGAAUAUCCGAGACAUGUAAACUAUUUGUCUCAUAUGACAAUGACAUAACAAUCAAUAUGUGGCUGAGGAAAUUUUAAGAGGUAAAUGAUUUCGCAAAUGAUGCACCGAAACAUACUUUGUUAUCUUAUAAAGCGUACACAAACAAUAUUAUUUCUGCUUCAUAGUAACAUCAUACUGUACUAGUAAUUUGGCAAAUGACAUAUGAAUACCGAAUGCCAAAAACAAUGAAAAUCUGGAGAAAGUGUGAUCUCUCGGACACAUUAAUCACAAAAAUACAUAUAAAUUGAGGACUCGAUUUGACUGAAUCUGUACAUGUGGGAUAAUGAAAUAAUACAACAGAAACAACAGAAAACCAAACAAACAAACGAUGUUCAAAUCAUGUCAUUAUUAGUACUUGUAAUGGUAAGACAGAAAAUUCCGCUCUAAAAAAACACAACAGAUAUAUCAAAAUUCAAAGCAAGGCGCCUACAUUAACAUAAUAAAAAUCCUGUCAGUUGUAUGGCACAAAUUACAAACCAUACAACUAAAGCUAUACACUAAACUUUUUUCACGGUAUUUUAUGACAUAAAAACACAUUAUUUUACAUUGCAAGAAAUGGUAAUGUCGCGGCAUUGAAGAUAUGUUCGGUUUCUUUUAAAGUUAUUCUUUUGAUGUUGCACACCAAUAGGAAAUUAAAGUAUUUUAAUACAUGUAAUACGAAAUUGAACACAAAAAUACAUAUAAAUUGAGGACUCUAUUUGACUGAAUCUGUACAUGUGGAUAAUGAAAUAGUACAACAGAAACAACAGAAAACCCAACAAACAAACGAUGUUCAAAUCAUGUCAUUAUUAGUACUUGUAAUGGGAAGGCAGAAAAUUCCGCUCUCAAAAAAUCAACAAAAAAGAUAUAUCAAAUUUCAAAGCAAGGCCCCUACAUUAACAUAAUAAAAAUACUGUCUGUUGUAUGUCACAAACUACAAACCAUACAACUAAAGUUAUACACUGAACCUUUUUUCACGGUAUUCUAUGACAUAAAAACACAUUAUUUUACAUUGCAAGUACUUUAAUACAUGUAAUACGAAAUCGCGAUUCUAAACUACUCCUUGAUUGGGCAUGUCAAAUGUUUAUCCUUGAGUAAACACAGACAAUUAGAAAUACAUUUGUUUAGUAAUACAAUCAAAUUCAAUUAAUAAUUUAAGACAAAAAAGUCAGAUAUAAAUAAUCAGGUUACUUUUAUUUAAAAAAAGUUAAUUGUAAAGAGCACGUCAUUACUUGUAUAUAAACAUCAUUUUAACUAAGAAUCAAAUAAUUAAGUUUAAAAGAACACUUACAAAUUGUAUGAUAAUAAUUAUCUAUCCUUUUUUAUUGUUUCUCGUUAAUAUUGUUUCCAAAACUAUAGAAACAUAACAUAGGUAAACAUUACUUCGCUUUCAAGAUGGCACACUAAACAUUAUAUAUACUACUCAUUUUUGCUAAGCACCAUAUGUUGAGUGUUAAUAUAUUUUUGGAUAAUCUUAUUACCGCCGUAAGAAAGGUUUUAAAUGUUAAUUUAUUGUGUUAUCAGUUCAUCUGAAGGACGAAUUUAGCCUACAUAUGAGUUUUACAGUGACUUUAUUCUAGGAAAGAGGAUGACUCCCCACUUUGAAGAGUCUACAACAUGCACCGUAAUUCAAUAUCUGUUAAAUUGGAUUUUUGUUUACAGUUGUAGACCAAAUACCGUGUGUAUGACCCGUGACUAUCAUUGACUGCUUGGUAGCGCCUUCCCAUACUCCCUUUUAGGUUUCUGAUCAUUCUAACGUUUAUGGCAGUCAAUUCGUAGACCAACACUGCUCCAAGCUCCUGGAUGGUUCUGGAUUGCAGCAGACGAGCUGAAAUUCUAACCGGCAGCUCAUUCCACAUGUGUUCUAUUGAAUUUAAGUAAGGUGAGCGAGCUGGCCAGUCCAUGCACCCAAUAAACUCCCUUUCUAGAUAGUCGUGGACCACCCUGGCUCUGUGGGGCGAGUAUUAUCGUUCAUUAGAAUGAACUGAUCGCCAACUGCUCUAGCAUACAAUCUAACCUGGUUCCUCUAAGAUGUCGUUUAUGUAUCACUGACCUGUCAAUGGGUUUCUCUUUAGCACAACCAAGUCGGUUUGUCCAUUCCAGUUGAUACCUUCUCGCAAAAAAACUAACCAACCAACGUAGCUAUCAUGCUCAGCCUAAAACCUACCUUUUCAUCUCUAGACUCAAGCACACCUAUCUGUGAAGUCUACGUAGUAUCUGGACUCUUCGGUGAACAAAAUUUGUCUCCAGUGUUGCAUGGUCGACCGUGUCUGGUCCAUGGUACAUUUCAAAGGGGCCUGGCGAUGUCGAGGCGUCACAGGAAUACGUAUGCAAAGUCCUCCCGACCGCAUAUUACAUUCAUGCAGCUUUCUUCGUACCGUCUGCGUUGAAUCAUGGACACCCGCAGCAUUAGCAAUGUCAUUUCAAAGAGAAGUUGCUGUUAAAAAAACAACCCUUGUACGUCGUGUCUGAGCGACCAAAAACAGAUCAUUAGCUGGUGUAAUGACCCUUUGUCAACCUCCAGUAUGCCUCCUGGUGCUUAUACAAUGUAGCUGGUAUCUCUCCCAGGCUCUAGUGAUGACGGUAGGUGUACACUGACGGAAGGUGGCCCUCUGCUGCACUAUCCCUACAGCCCUCCAUAAGUCUGCUUCACUUAAAUUCUGCCUAAUGUUAGCAUUCGCCAUUUCGUACUGACAGAUGUAAAGAAUGUAAAAAUAGAGAAAAUAAGAAUCCCUAAAGAAAGUCAAAAACGGAAAAAUUAAAUUGUUGCAGGCUCGGUUUGAUUGAGCCUGUUCAUGGACGAUACUGUCAAGUGUAAACCUCCGUCCACGUCCCCUAGCAACGGCUUAAGCAGAAUUUAUCAUUCAAAUAUAGUAGUGGUGAAUUUUGAAACUUCCGCAAAUGUAUAUUUAUACGGCCAUUAUCAUGGAACCUCAAAUGUGACACUUUCGUGCCAUUCCAUGAAAAUCGUUUGAAUGUCAUUAAGCAGGUAAUGUCGCCGUUUACCAAAUGACAUGUGAUUGUACACCCCAUCAAACACAUGAAAAUAUUUGGGUGCAUGUUUUCCAUGCUACCUAGACGAGUUUAAACGGACUAUCUUAAAACAUUGUGAAUUAGAAUUUUCAAAAAUUGAAAGAAAUCUGUUUUAUACUUGUGUUAAUAUAAAAAUAGAAUUGUGGUGCUAAGCAAAUGUUCAGUAGUAUAAAUAUCUAUACAUUUCUAGUGUCUUUCUACAGUUUAUUAAUGUCAUGCUAUGGUUGGACUUUAACAACAAUUUUGUAAUAAUUUUAAAAGAUUUACUCAAAAAUAACAAUAAAGCCGCACUGAAAAGUGCACUCGGUAAACUGUUGCUGGUAAGACCUCUGGGGUGACAGAUUUUCUAUCACUCAUUUGCCUUUUUAUCAUUUGUGGCUCAAAAUUAAUUGAAACAAUCAUGUGCUGAUAGUAUCCGGUCAUUUGCAUAGCAAUUGGUAACUACUUGUCACUUCAGUUUCUUAUAGAGAUUUGUUUAGAACAAAAAGUAUUUUUAACCUCUUUCACAUUAUGCCUUUUUCGCGCUAUCAAUUCACGUUCUGUAAAAGUUUAUCCCGUGUAAUGAAAUUGCAUUACACAGUGCAUACUGUUUAGUCUAUGCACUGAACGUACAAAGCAGUCGAUGUUGACAACACCAAAAAUAUCUUAAUACACUGUUUCAGUGAUACUUAGGUUACAAAAUUAAUGAAUGGUCUUCUUAACUCCUUGUAAGUUUGUUUUUAACUUUUUUAUAGAAAAAACUUUCAGCAUUAAUGAUUAAUGUAUAAAUGGGAUGAAAUGUGAUACUUUAAAUUAUCAAACUGAUUUGGAUAUAUUCUAUUGUUUCUGUUUUGUGUUUUAUUUAUCUAUCUUUUUAACAUCUUUUUUAACAGAUCUUUUCCAGGUUUGAUUAACAUGUUGUAUAUUAUCAAUUUCAAUUAAACAUUUCACCUCACCGGCUCAACUUUUAGGAAUAGUGUUUCUCUAUUGAAAAAUCAUUACCGUCUAAAUAUAGCUUUAUUCUGUAAUUAAUGUCUUUGAUGAAUGCACUUCUUGUGUAAAUUUUAUAAAUGCUUUCAAUUUCCUGAAUUUUCAUUUUAAUGUUUAGUAUGCAAAAAUAUUCUAAAUUAAAAGGGAAAAGCAGAUAUCGGUACAUGAAAAACGUGAUACACUUUGCUCAUAAUUAUCACGCUUUCAGAUUUCUACAAAAUCGCCGUCGGCGAUAGUAUCGAUUUAAA